UACGGAGGAUGCGAGCGUUAUCCGGAUUUAUUGGGUUUAAAGGGUGCGUAGGCGGAUUGUCAAGUCAGCGGUAAAAUUGAGAGGCUCAACCUCUUCCCGCCGUUGAAACUGGUGGUCUUGAGUGGAUGAGAAGUACGCGGUAUGCGUGGUGUAGCGGUGAAAUGCAUAGAUAUCACGCAGAACUCCGAUUGCGAAGGCAGCGUACCGGCAUCCAACUGACGCUGAGGCACGAAAGCGUGGGGAUCAAACAGG
rnacentral:rRNA from 1 species